GGGGAUUUAGCUCAGUGGUAGAGUGCUUGCCUAGCAAGCACAAGGCCCUGAGUUCAGUCCCCA
rfam:Rattus norvegicus chromosome 16, whole genome shotgun sequence.